rnacentral:tRNA from 1 species
GCCUGGCUGGCUCAGUGGUUAAGCAUCUGCCUUUGGCCCAGGGCAUGAUCCUGGAGACCUGGGAUCGAGUCCCAUGUCAGGCU